rnacentral:rRNA from 1 species
GAUGAACGCUGGCGGCGUGCCUAAUACAUGCAAGUCGAGCGAACAGAUGAGGAGCUUGCUCCUCUGACGUUAGCGGCGGACGGGUGAGUAACACGUGGAUAACCUACCUAUAAGACUGGGAUAACUUCGGGAAACCGGAGCUAAUACCGGAUAAUAUAUUGAACCGCAUGGUUCAAUAGUGAAAGACGGUUUUGCUGUCACUUAUAGAUGGAUCCGCGCCGCAUUAGCUAGUUGGUAAGGUAACGGCUUACCAAGGCAACGAUGCGUAGCCGACCUGAGAGGGUGAUCGGCCACACUGGAACUGAGACGCGGUCCAGACUCCUACGGGAGGCAGCAGUAGGGAAUCUUCCGCAAUGGGCGAAAGCCUGACGGAGCAACGCCGCGUGAGUGAUGAAGGUCUUCGGAUCGUAAAACUCUGUUAUUAGGGAAGAACAAAUGUGUAAGUAACUAUGCGCGUCUUGACGGUACCUAAUCAGAAAGCCACGGCUAACUACGUG